UUUCGGGCUUGAUGGUUUGAGAGUUACUUAUAUAUUUUUUCUGGAAUUCAUUUUCAUUUCUCAUCAAAAGUACCCAUAAGCCUUAUGGCAUAAUAUACAUUGCAACAUCCUGAAAUCUAUUACCCUAGUAUUUCUCAAUGAGACAUAAUAGCUGAGCUUCGUGAGAACUGAAGCAAUCAGUAGGAUACAAUGCAGUGCAAACUGUUCAAGCAAUUCUUGAACUCCAUUCCAAUGCAUUCAAAUGGUAAACACUGUGAAGAGAACUCUUUUAUGAACUCUCAACCCUUCAUUGUUACAACUUCCAAGUAAAACAGGUGCUGUCUUCUCCAUCAUUCGCUCUAUCACGAAGGAGUGCCGAGGAAAAGAGGUGGCAGGUGGACUAUGUCCUCUCCAUCAAGGUAACGAUAGCUGGAGAAAAGUAGGUAACUACUCACUUAAUAAAACAGAAAGAAGCGGUGACCAAGAAUUACACAACUUCUUCAAGGAGGAGAUAUCAAAGGAAAAAUUAUACAAUCGAUUAUUAAAUAAAAUGGAUAAAAAGUGGAUCGGGUGGGGUUGGGAGGAAA
rnacentral:lncRNA from 1 species